rnacentral:pre_miRNA from 1 species
CAUCUUACUGGGCAGCAUUGGAUGUAACUGGUAUUCUAAUACUGCCUGGUAAUGAUGAU